rnacentral:rRNA from 1 species
CCUACGGGUGACAGCAGUGGGGAAUAUUGCACAAUGGGGGGAACCCUGAUGCAGCGACGCCGCGUGAGUGAAGAAGUAUUUCGGUAUGUAAAGCUCUAUCAGCAGGGAAGAAAAUGACGGUACCUGACUAAGAAGCCCCGGCUAACUACGUGCCAGCAGCCGCGGUAAUACGUAGGGGGCAAGCGUUAUCCGGAUUUACUGGGUGUAAAGGGAGCGCAGACGGCUGUGCAAGUCUGGAGUGAAAGGCGGGGGCACAACCCCCGGACUGCUCUGGAAACUGUAAAGCUGGAGUGCAGGAGAGGUAAGCGGAAUUCCUAGUGUAGCGGUGAAAUGCGUAGAUAGUAGGAGGAACACCAGUGGCGAAGGCGGCUUACUGGACUGCAACUGACGUUGAGGCUCGAAAGCGUGGGGAGCAAACAGGAUUAGAUACCCUAGUAGUC